rnacentral:SRP_RNA from 1 species
GCCGGGCAUGGUGGCGCAUGCCUGUAAUCCCAGCACUCGGGAGGCUGAGUCAGGAGGAUCGCUAUGAGUUCAAGACCAGCCUGGUCUGUAUAGUGAGUUCCAGGUCAGUCUCAACUACAUAGUGAGACCCUGUCUCAA